CGGCGAAUUAUAUUCUGUAGCAAGGUUAACCGUGUAGGGGGGCCGCUGGGAGACCGAGUCUUAACUGAGCGUUAAGUUGCAGGGUAUAGAGACAAAACCCGGUGAUCUAGCCAUGGGCAAGUUGAAGGUUGGGUAACACUAACUGGAGGACCGAACCGAAGAAUGUUGAACAAUUAGCGGAUGACUUGUGGCUGAGGGGGAAAGGCCAAUCAAACAAGGAGAUAGCUGGUUCU
rnacentral:rRNA from 1 species